AAUUGAUUGUACCAUCAGAGUAAGCCCCGGCUAACUACGUGCCAGCAGCCGCGGUAAUACGUAGGGGGGCAAGCGUUGUCCGGAUUCACUGGGUGUAAAGGGUGCUCAGGCGGACUUGUAAGUCAGAGGUGAAACUCCGAAGCUUAACUUCGGAACUGCCUUUGAUACUGCAAGUCUCGAGUACGGGAGAGGGUAAUGGAAUAACAGGUGUAGCAGUGAAAUGCGUAGAUAUCUGUUAGAACACCAAUGGCGAAGGCAGUUGCCUGGCCCGUUACUGACGCUAAAGCACGAAAGUGUGGGUAGCAAACAGGAUUAGAUACCCUGGUAGUCCACACCCUAAACGAUGAGAACUAGUUGUUGGCCCUUUUAAGGGUCAGUGACUUAGCUAACGCAUUAAGUUCUCCACCUGGGAAGUACGAUCGCAAGGUUGAAACUCAAAGGAAUUGACGGGG
rnacentral:rRNA from 1 species